CCCUUAGAUGUUCUGGGCCGCACGCGCGCUACACUGAUCGAUUCAACGAGUUUUGAAAUAAUUUUUAUAAUUUUUCAUAUCCUUUGUCGGAAGGCAUGGGUAAUCUUUUAAAUGUCGAUCGUGAUGAGGCUAGAUUCUUGCAAUUAUUAAUCUCCAACGAGGAAUUCCUAGUAAACGCAAGUCAUCAGCUUGCAUUGAUUACGUCCCUGCCCUUUGUACACACCGCCCGUCGCUCCUACCGAUUGAGUGGUCCGGUGAGGCUUUGGGAUCUGAGCGGAAAGAGCGUUUCGCUGUUUCUGCUCGGAAAACUCAGUCGAACCUUAUCAUUUAGAGGAAGGAGAAGUCGUAACA
rnacentral:rRNA from 1 species